rnacentral:lncRNA from 1 species
CCUGAGCUCACCUGGGAUCAUCUGAGCUCACCUGGUCCCACCUGGGCUCACCUGGGAUCACCUGAGCUCACCUGGUCCCCCCUGAGCUCACCUGGGAUCAUCUGGACUCACCUGGUCCCCCCUGAGCUCACCUGGGAUCAUCUGAGCUCACCUGGUCCCCCCUGAGCUCACCUGGGCUCACCUGGGAUCAUCUGAGCUCACCUGGGAUCAUCUGGACUCACCUGGUCCCCCCUGAGCUCACCUGGUCCCCCCUGAGCUCACCUGGGAUCAUCUGGGAUCAUCUGAGCUCACCUGGGAUCAUCUGGACUCACCUGGUCCCACCUGGGCUCACCUGGUUCCCCCUGAGCUCACCUGGUCCCACCUGAGCUCACCUGGUCCCCCCUGAGCUCACCUGGGAUCAUCUGAGCUCACCUGGUCCCCCCUGAGCUCACCUGGUCCCCUCUGAGCUCACCUGGGAUCAUCUGAGCUCACCUGGGAUCAUCUGAGCUCACCUGGUCCCACCUGAGCUCACCUGGGCUCACCUGGUCUCACCUGGGAUCAUCUGAGCUCACCUGGGAUCAUCUGAGCUUACCUGGUCCCCCCUGAGCUCACCUGGGCUCACCUGGGCUCACCUGGUCCCCCCUGAGCUCACCUGGUCCCCCCUGAGCUCACCUGGGCCGUGUCGUGUCCCAGAUUCCGUGGAGGACGUGCUCGCGGAUCUCCUGGGAUUCGAUGGUAAAAUGGGACCCUCUGGAUCUGCCCCGGGGUCACCUGGGGGGAAACACCUGAGCUUGGGAUCACCUGGGGAGGAUCACCUGGAGGGAAUCACCUGAGGGGCAUCACCUGUCCUGGGAUCACCUGGGUGGAAUCACCUGUCCUGGGAUCACCUGGAGGGAAUUCCCCAUCCCCCCGAUCCCAAGUCCCUCCCUUGUUCCCAGAGGAUCCUCCCGUUCCCCUUUCCUGCGGAUCCCGACUCACCUGCGCCCAGGUGAGCUCCAGGGGGGCCCUGGAGGAGGAUCCCGGUGGGAAAUUCCCUGAAGAUGACGUGGGAGAGACGCAGGACCUGGAUGAUCUGGAUGCAGAAAUCCUGGGAAUCUCCAGAUCCAGGCCCAGGCUGGCGGGAGCUGGGACAGGGGCAGGGAAAAGCCUUGGGAAGCAGCUGGAUCCUGAGGAAGUGCCCCCCCCAGGGGUGGCCUCGGUGACCUCGUGGAUUCCCCGGGAGGAGCCGGGAAAGCCCCGGGAAUGUCGGACAGGUGAGGGCCUGGGGGGACAGCACAGGGACAGGG